rnacentral:misc_RNA from 1 species
GAUGAAGAACGCAGCGAAAUGCUAUAAGUAAUGUGAAUUGCAGAAUUCAGUGAAUCAUCGAAUCUUUGAACGCACAUUGCGCCCGCCAGUAUUCUGGCGGGCAUGCCUGUUCGAGCGUCAUUUCAACCAUCAAGCCCCAGGCUUGUGUUGGGGACCUGCGGCUGCCGCAGGCCCUGAAAACCAGUGGCGGGCUCGCUGUCACACCGGGCGUAGUAGAUUUUAUCUCGCUCAGGGCGUGCUGCGGGUCCCGGCCGUUAAAAGCCUUUUUUUACCCAAGGUUGACCUCGGAUCAGGUAGGAAGACCCGCUGAACUUAAGCAUAUCAAUAAGCGGAGGA